AUGGGUCGCACCGAUUGGGAUCAUAUAUUAUCCAUAGAUCCAUCGUCAUUGACUGACGAUGACAUGGAAGAUCUUUAUCCUGCUAUGAUUAGUUGUGAUGUCGACGAGAUUAGUGACAUACAUAACCUAAGAACUCUGAUGAAAAUGUCUCAAGAAAUACUUCAGUAUAAAGACAAUCAAGUAGAAUCAUUGUUAUUAGAAUGCAGUGAAUUGAAAGAAACCAUUUCUUCUCUAAAACCUGAACCUGCCAAACGUAAAAAGAAAGAAUGGGAUACAUCUGACACAAAACAUGAAACCAGUGAUGUAUCUAAACACAUGGAUGUAUCAGAAGGCACUGAUCAUGAUGAUGUAUCACAAAAGAAAAAUAAGAAAAUUAAGAUUCUCAUGACAGAGCUAGAGACCAUGGAAAAGGAUAAUAUUGUUUUGAAAGAAAGAUUAACUACACUGACCCAAGAAAUGGAAGAUGCAACACAAAAAAUGAAUGAAAUGACAGAAGAAUUAGGAUCUGCUUACAUUAAAUCCACGGAAUUCAAAGAAAAGCUACAGCAAUUAGAACAUGAAAAUGCUGCCCUAGUUGCUCAAAUUGAGGAAAUAACAGAGCAACAAAUGGAUAGAGACAAAGUGAUAGAUGAAUUUGGUGCAGCAAUUGAUGUUAGAAUUAAUGAAUGGAAGGCAAUAUUGGAUGAGAAAGAUGCUGAAAUUCAACGGCUGAAGGACACUCUAUCACAGUCGCUCAUUCAAUCUGUAGUCUCUGCCAAAGAACAAAGCAAAUCCGAAAUUGUUCACUUAAACGAAGAAAUAAAUCGUCGUGACAAAAUAAUCACCGAGUUAAAAACAAAACUUUCCGAAGCCAUCGUUGAAAUUAACGAAGGUGCUGAAGUUAUAAAAAAAUUAAAAGAAGAUGCACAGAAGGCUGGGAAACACGACAAAAAGAAGGAGCAAAAGGAACUAUUAAAAAAAUUACAGGAUGCUAAUGAACAAAUAUCAAGUUUACAGAUUAAAUUAUCACAAGCAGAGGAAGAUGCCCAGUUAAGAAGCAGCAAAUUAUGCGAGGCAUUAGCUACAUUGAGAAAGUACAAGGAUGAGAAUCACGGUUUAACAGACGCGUUGAAUGAGAUAAAGGAAUUGAAAAAUGAUAUAAAAGGCAAAGGCGAGCACAUAAGAGACUUGAUCAACGUCGUCAACAAAUUGGAAAUGUUGAAUUCCUAUCAAGAGAUGGAAAUUAUAACGCUUAGAGAGAAGCUAGGAAUACCAGAACACGAAUCGGUGUCGAUUCAACAUGCUCUGGAGAAACGCAAAGAGGAAGAGAAGAAACUGGAGGAGCUUCUGCAACAAAAUAAGAUGCUUCUCGAGGAAAACUUGGAAUUAAAAUCGGAUAUGAGAGUGUUAAAGUACAAAUUAAGUAAAACCUCGAAAGAAAUCGAUUUCUCGAGUACCACCGUAGACGGAAGCAUGGAAUUUUUGCAUUCAACGAAACUGGCGGAAUCGGAACCAAAGAAUGCCUUCGAAUUGAAACAGAACAUGCAGCUGGUUAUAGAAGAGAACGAGGCUCUUAGAACUGGCAUGCACGAAAUUUUGGAUAGUAUACGAAAUCAAGACGGUAAAAGCAUCGUGGAAAUACAAUCAAGCACGUUAGAAAGAUUAUUAGAAGCGUUAGAUGUGAGACAUUUAGCGGGCUGGUAUCAUCCAGCAAUGAGAUUACAGGAACAACUGAACGUUGUACAGGGCAGCAACGCCGAAUUAAGAGGGCAAAUUAGACAAUUGAGAAAGGAACUCCAGAAGAAGGAUAACAUGCUGAAAUCGUUGUCCCAAAAUCAGAUCACAAACAUCGACGAAUACACCGAUGAAUCGGACAGUGAGAAGACGAUGUAUGUUUCCGAGAUGAACAAGUUGCAAGAGAUGUACAAAAACGCGUCAGACGAGUGGGAGGAAGAGAAGAAUUCCCUGUUGGAACAGACUGAAAAUUUGAAGAGCGAAGUGGAGAAGUUUAAGAUGCAGCUCGAAGUCUACGAACAGAGUACGAAAAUCCUGGAGGAGGGGGAGGAUGAAAUUCGAAAAGCUUUCGCGAUUAAAACGAGAGAAUACGCCGUUGCUGCCGGCGAGCUUCUGAUAGCGAACAGAAAGAACGUAGCUCUUCAGCAAUUAUUAAACAGAGAAUCAAGGAAAGUCUAUCAAGAGCGGAAAGAAGCAAUCAAGAGCGAGAAUUAUCUAAGAAAAUCGCUCGCCGACGCGAUCAACCACAACAAAGUCUUCGAACGCGAAAUUUCAACGGUCCAAAGCAAUCUGUCCAAUUCCGUCAGCUACACAGUUUACAACGACCUCAAAGAGAAGCACGAAGAGCUCGCUAUACGUCACCGCAACCUCUUGGAGAAUAAUUUAGUUCUGGAAAACGCUAAGGAGGUAGAGAUCUUGAAGAGUGAAUUGGAGAUAGUGAAACGAGAAAAAGAAGAAUUAUUGGAGCAUUUUCAAAAAGAGAUCCAGCAGGAAGGUGAAAAAGAUUUGAAGGAACAGUUAAAAGAGAGCCAGGCUAAAGAACUUCUAGAAAAACAACGUGCUGAUCACGUUAGCAGUUUGCACGAGAUUUUACAGACUCAGUUGUCUAAAUGCGAAGAAAAUCUGAAGGAAGUAGUUACAGCAAAGUCGGAGUUGCAAGAAGAAUUGAUUAUUCUUCAUAAAAGAUUGUCGAAGGACUUGCGUUUCGAGAAGAACGAACAGUUGGACGAUAAUCGUGUGCAAGAACUGAAGGAUAAUAUCGAGACGCUUCGAAUAGAGAACGAGGACUUGAAGAAACAGCUUCAGAUUGCUCGUGAAGAAGCCAAGGAACAGUAUUCCUUGAACUCCUUGAAGCUGAUGGAAUUAGAUGAUCUCAGGCAUCAGAUUUUGGAUUUGCAAGCGAUCAGCGAGGAUAAGGCAACAAUUUCAAGACUGGAUUUUGAGUUGGCUGGUAAAAAGAUGUCGGAAAUGGAACUGAAUGCGCAGAAAAGCAGAAUGGAGAAUGAAUUAUCUUAUCAGCAGGAGGAACUUGAAAAAUUAAGAACAACUUGCGAGGGAUUGCGCGUAUACGUGCAAGAUUGUCGAAAGCAGUGCGAGAAUCGUUGCAGAACGUACACAGAUAUCAUAGGGUUUCUGCAGGAAUUAUACGCGGGUUCAACUUCUAUUACCACUUUAGACAGAGUAGCUUCGUUAUCUUUAAAAUUAAAGAAAGAACGUCAGAAUAUUGAUUCGGAAAUGAAAAAGGCAAAAGAAUAUCAGGAGGGUGCUAAGCAACAGCAAGAGAUUUUAACGAAUCGUUUGCAAAUCGUGGAAAGCUUGAAAGAUAUACUUGAACAACAAAUUGGAAACAAUGGAGUGCAGGAUAUUCUGCAACGUUUCUCUGAAUACUCUCAGUACACUUUGAACGAUUUCAAGUACAAACGAAAAAUAUCGCAAUUGGAACACGAGUUGCAAGCGGCGAACAACAAAUUCAUGGAUUACGAGUCGCUGAUAACGAGCAUGGAGAAGGAAAUGAUUGAAAUUCAGAAAGUCUGGGGCAAGGGUCAACAGCAACAAUCAAAAAUCGACAUACAAAACACGGCAACGAGUCCUGUACCCUUGGAAAACAACCACGUAUCCGUUCAAGCGACGAUAGAGAUGAAUUCCAUGGAAGUUCAGACCGAUCCUUACACUUGUUGCUUGGAGACGAAGAAGACUCUCGAGGUCGAGGUUCAGACUUCGAUAUUAAAAGAAGAAAAAACGGGAGAACAGUCGACGGAAACCCAGCAGACCGAAGUUGAAGAGGUAUACUCGAAGAAAGAGGGCAAACAAACGGAAGAACCAGAGAAAGAGGAGAACACAAUGGAAGAUGAAGAAGAAGAAGAAGUGUCUCUGCUUCGCGAUCAAUUGAAUCGGGCUUUGAAACUCGCCUCGGAAAGAUCCUCGACUUUAGUGAAGUAUGAAUUACAGAUAGCUGAGUAUCAAGUAAAAAUUGAGGGGUUGAAUAAGAUCCUGGAGAGCAAGGAUCUUCAAUUAACUGAAAAAGAGAAGCUGUUGGAGGAGUGCAAAGCUCAGCCACAUUCCCAGCUUCACAGUAGCGAGUACAGCGACAAGCUCGCCUUGAAAUCAACCAUAAAUAGUCUGCAGAAGUUGCUUAGUCAGAAGGAGGAGACUAUAGCUAGGUAUCAGAACCUGUUGAAGGAGGAUCGGGAUGAGCACAGCAAAGCUGCGGUUCGUUUGCAAGAGGAGAUCAGAAGCUUGCAAGCUCGGCUUCAGGAGAAAAUUCUGAAGGUGUCUGACGAACCUGAAAGAUUGUCUGAUAAGAUACAGGAGACCGAUACGAAAAGCAACGUGGUUCAAAUGGAGGAACUAGCUAGGCUGCAGGAAACGGUGUCGACUCUGGAGGCGGAUUUGAACAUUACCAAGGAACUUAGCGAACGUUGGCACAGAUUGGCCGAAGAGAGACUGAGACACAUGGAUAGAAUGAGGGAAAGAUUGGAGGAGCAACACAAAAACGAGCUGGAGAGUUAUCGCGGGGAAUUGAUAAAAUGGCAGUCUGAAGCUGACACCCUUCGCAAACAGUUGUCUGAGAAUCGUGUGUUAAUUACUAAGGGGAAUAUUUCUUUGAUGAAGGAAUUGCAGGAGAAGGAUGAUAAGAUACACGAGCUCAGUCUUGCCUGUCAGCAGUUGCAGAACGCUGUCGAAUCGAUGGAAUCUACGAGUCGUUCUCAACGAGCGAUAACUCACGGUGAAACGGAAUCGAGGAUUCACGAAAUUACUCAAACAUUUGCUCGCGAUCAGUCGCAGCAAAGCGCGCAAACGGAAAUCCUGAAGAAACAGCUACAUUCGUUGCUGGAAAAGGAGAAAAUGUACAAGAAUGAGAUUUCUGACUUGAAGCAGCAACUUAGUCGCAGAUACAUGGCCGUAAAAACGCAAGAAAAGAAAAUAUCGCAACGGGAAAUUCAAUUAGAACGUAAGGUCAGAUCUUUGGAAGAAGAGUUGGAGAAAGCCAAAGCUCAGUUGGAUCGAGAGUAUUUAGCUCAAGAAGCAAAGAGAGCAAAGACCGCAGAAGAGCUUUCCCUAUGGGAGAAGCAAAAGAAAUGGCAACAGACUGCUGAGAAACUGAAAGAAAAGCUCAAGGAAAAGACGGAAGAGUACACAAAGUUGCUUUCGAACCAUGAAAAGCUUCGAUCGGUGGUGUCCUGUAUGGAAAGAGAGAAAUGGUACCUGAAGAGCAAGUUGAAAUCAGAAAACACAAUGGCUGGAAAUUUAUCUGCCAGACCCUUGACGAGCACGCAACAAAAUUUGAUGGAAGAACUUCAGAAGGAGUGUCAGAUUCUUCGAGAUCGUAUCAAAGAAUUAACCGAUCGCCUUGAGAACGAGGACAACGAGAAGCUCUUGUUAAAAAUUGAAGAGCAACAGAGACGAAUCGCUGCUCUGGAAAUAGUUUCUCAGGGUAACGUUUCCGUAGUUAAUCAAUUAGAGAAGUUAGAAAUGACGAAGGAGAUUCUUGAGAAAAUGAAUUUGACUUUGGAGGCGGAGAAUUUUGAGCUUCGUCUGGAAUUGGAAAAAGUAAACGCAGAAACACCGCGAUUAAGGGAGAAGGUCGAUCAUUUAGAGAAAUAUAUCGAGUUGCUGAAGGUAGAAAAAUCCUCUGACUCAACUCCAAGAUCGUUGGACAAAGACGUGCAGGAUCAAGGCUCGAAGAAGUCUGUAAUAGAAAUGGAAAAGACAAUUUUCACCCUGAAGAGAAUCAUUGAGAGGCUUCAAGCUGAAAAUAAACAGCUCAGGCUUGCCUCUAAAAAGAGUCAUUUUCCCCAUCAGGGAAAAUCAGUUGGCCAGGUCGAUGGUGUGUUACAAAAGCAAUACGAGGGAGCCAAGAAGCGGAUAGUAGCGUUGGAAACCGAUUUGCAGUUAGCCGAGCAAAGGGUGGUAGCUUUGGAAAGGGUGCAAAAGGAGGAGGACAACGGGGAGGCAAAGAUUUUGAGGGAACAAUUGAACCACAAGUCUGAACUCCUAGACAAAGUGAAACAUUUAUUAUCGAGAGCAGCCAUGAACGAGAAAACUCUUCGGCAACGUGUACAACAACUAGAAUCGAAGCAAAUAUUGUCUACGAUACCAGAGUGCUACGUAACGCCACCCACUCCGGAGUAAACAACGUUCGUUGUGUGUUCGCAGGUCGUCCCGCCGCCGUCAGCUUGGCACGUCACCGGGCUGGCUCCAUUCGACGGCCAUAAUAUAUGCCGUCGUUUGCCGUUCACGGCGAUAAAUAUUACAAUAUAAUAUUCGUGGCCGGGACACGGAGGAUUCCCGGCGAGCCUUCGGGACCGAACCGAGAAAAGCCAUAUGAUGAAGCGGCCGUGCAACAGCAUGCGCCUUACAACGGGGAUCGUAUUACCUGAGACAACGAACAACGACCCUGGAAAACAUCCUGCCUUUACGAUUCUACAAAUAGUGCCAGUCUGCCGUACGCGGCUCGUUUUUCCAAUCGGAAAUUAUUAAACGCGUUUCCCGGCCAACGAUAUACAGGUAAGCGCGAUUCUUCGGCUUCUCGAGGUCGUACACUUGGCUUCAGGAUAGUGAACGAGGAUCAUUUGGUGAAAAAAUAAAAAAAACAGACACAUGUUGCUUUAACCCUUUAAGGAGAAUGAUUUAUAAAUCAUGGUAUGUUUAUUUUGUUGUUUUGAAGACGAGUGUGACAUGGGUUGUCUUCCAGAAUUUCACUAACGAGUGAUUAUUAAUUAACUGGGUAUUUUUGUAAUAUAUUUAAUCAAGAUUUUAUGGUGGAAUGGAAUUAUUGUAGGAAGAGACGGUUGGGUCAGUUUGAUCGAGCAGAAUUUGAAAUGAAAGUUGACGAGUGGGAGGAUGGAGGUGAAACUGAAGGAUGAGGCUAGAGUUUGCGAAAGAGUUGCACGUAAUGGUAUAUUUUUUACGUAAUGGCUUUCUUUUAUUGUUCGUUUAUUGGUAUGGUGGAUCGUUGAACAAUGAGACGGAUAGUGCUUUCACUAUCACUCUACUCGCACGGUUUUAUAUAAUAAUAGUAUGUAAUUAUGGCGGAAGAGUUUCUUAUUUGGCUAGUUUUCGUCUCUCGAGUUAUGUAUUUAAAUUGUGUUUAUAAUUCAUAAUUUUUAUUCGUAAUUAAAUUAAUCGAAGACUUUACAAUCCAGGCUACAAAUUAUGGUCCCAAUUCAACAAAUAUGUUAAUUAAUAUAAAAUAUUAAAAUAGUCUUCUUCAUCCUUCAUCCUGGUCCGAGCAACAGUCACCUGAAUUAAAUUCUAAAAAAAAUCAGACGUGCAAUGUUUGACCGUGACUUUCUGAAUCCCAUCCUUGAACAAUUUUGACCGAUCGAAGUUUACGAAUGCAAACGGUGACGCAGAAAUACGUGGCCAAUGUCAAGACGUUCCGUCCUCACCCUCGGUUCGCUGCGUUUGAUCGCAGGUCGCCCUGGCGUCAGGCUGGAACGUCAGCGACCCCUCCUCCUCGUCCUCCUUCUAGGAGAGCCACCUACACGGCUCUCACACCAAGCGGGCUUACGUGUACGUGCACGUGGACCGUGUUCCGUGGAAGAACCGCAGGAAAACCACUACCUAACGGACCGAACAGUCCGUUCCUGUCGACGUACCACUACCCAGAUGCACGCGUAUGUUAAACUCGUGCGAUUCGAGUGCAAUAGAGAGCCAAGAGAACGUGCCCCCACUCGGGACGGAACUCGAAGGUCGAAAUCUCUUGGCAGCACAGGUCGGGUCCGAGCGUCGAUGAUUAUUGCUAAUUGUCGCUACUUGAAUUGAAUGGUUAAAGUGCAUUGGGAUAAUUGGUAAGGUACAUAGUAAUAAUUAUACGUAUAAUGCAAUACCAACACUGGUAAGAUUUUGGUAAGAUGCAUAGUUAAGUCAUUAUAUAAGAAUUGCUAUAAUACUUAGGAAAUUAUUAAUUUAUUAUAAAUAAUUUUGCUAAUAGAAAAUACUUUAUUAGUAAAAUUAGCGAUUGAACAGUCGUCGAUUCGUUUUUCCCACUGAACUAACAAUAAGUCCGAACUUAAGUUCGUAUUUCGGUUCGUGCGCAGUCGUACUACGCAACACGUGGAGGAGUGGGGGUAUCUUCUCUCACCGCGCGUCUCGCUCGCGAAUCGUUCGAGCGCGAUGUAUGGUACAGUGCGAGGCGAUGCGGGAAGAAAAGAAUACGCGGAACAGGUAAGAAAGGGAGACAGGUACAUAAACACGAAGAGCGGAAUACUCUCUCGGGAGAGGAGCAAUGUACAUAGGUGGAAAGUACGUAUCCAUGAGUACGUGUCCCUUUACUCGAAACGUCCAGGUAAAUUGAAUGUGUGAGUAGCUUAGGGACGUUGCAAGGGGCAAAGAGGGACAUAGGUGAAUCUUGACAUUUAUAUGUAUGUGACCUGUCCCGUGCAGAGGCAUUCGUCUACUUAGAACGUACGUGUAGGUGUACGCACGUAUUAUUCCGAAGAUCUUCCAAUGUGUUUUACGCUCGCGGCAUCUAGCCGCUACGUUUUACCAUAUGCGGGAGAUUUAAACACGCUUGUGCAUGGAAUAGUCGCGUGUAUUGUAUGGGAAAAUUGCUGUUGCAGGACGACCCAUAGGCUCGUGCUUGUUCUAAUAUAUCAUACGAUUGUUUCCUCCACCUUUUCGUGGCUGUUGCAGAGGAAUCCUCGGAACGUAGGGUUCCGUAGAGAUAAAUAAAUUGAAUUUCAAGAGACAUGCCUUGAAACUGUACCACGAUUGUAUAAUAUUUUCAUUUCUAUAUAUUCAUUGGCGUAACAUUCGAUUUUCAUAUUAUCCAAAGCCUUGGUGUUAAAAUAUGAAAAAAUUCGGCGCUAUGACAUCGAAGUCGGGAUACGAAAUUCAGUGUCACAGUGCAAUUUCUAAUUUUCUAAUCACGUAACUUUAAUAUUUGUUUCUAUCGGGUAUGGAUUUAUGACGUCGGUCAGCGGUGACCCCCAUGACAGUCAAUUGCUCACUCUUCAAGCCGCGGUAUCGUUCGCGCUCACGCGUGCCCGCGCGUGGGCAGAAACACCGUGUGUGCCCCGUCGAUUUGUCCUUUUCCCGUAUGAUUUCCGGGUCGGAGAGCAGAGGACGGCAUCGACGACAGAUACUCGGGUAGGAUAAAAGGAAGGAGAGAGAAGCGCGCGCCAUUUAAAUCGGCGUGGCGACGUAUCUGGACUGGAGCGUAUUAUUACCAUCUAUAGGAGUCGUUGGCGAACGAUCGAACGGAUCGGUGAUUUAUGUGGUUAGCCGUGUGUGGAGUACGCCUGGUGUGGCGCAGCUCGCUCGUUGUUUGUGCACGCGCGUAAGAAAGUGCGUACGCUGUUCGGAGUCGGAAGAAGGAGUCAGGUACAAGCGCACCGAGGGACAACGAGCGAGAGAGAAAUGCAAUGAGAACCGGAUGAUAAAGAGAAAGAGAGGGUAGAAAACUGUGCGGACGAUCGGGAUGCUAAUUCGUUUUGCUCGCUUCCUCGGCUUCUUCGUCCUUUUCUGCGAAUGCAGAUCGUCGGCGGACGACCUCGUGGAAUGCGUUCCUCGUCUCGUCGUGGCAAGCUCCGGGGACUCGAGCUAAGGGACUCUUAGGAUCGCCAGAGUUCAUUCAACACGCUCCUUGUCCCUCGAAUCGUCGAAAAUCACGUUUUAUCCGGCGAAUAAAGAAUCGUAACGAUAUCCGAAAGAUCAGAUGCCAACGGGAAUCGUUCGAUAACAGGUAGAAAAUUGAGCAAUAAUUGUAAACGUGGAUUUAAGACUGUUUAGGGGGAAUUUGUAAUGUCUGCAUCCUAUAGAAAAAUUUGCAUUUGAAUUAUUAUGGUCGCAAGGAUAGAAUUAAAACUACACUUAACCUGUUAAAUGAAUUUGACGAAUAUAUACGUCACUUAAAAAACGCAAAUGAAAUGUUUUUGACGAGUAUAUUCGUCAAUUGAAAAAAUGUACAAUUUAGUUUAAAAAUAUGAAAUUGCAAUGAAAAGUAAAAACAAUGUCAUAUAAUUGUAUUUGAUUCUGAUUUUAAUUCCGCCCUCUAGGGUGGACUUUUGAUAAUAACUUUCACAGCUAGCAGGUUAAAAUGAAAUUCCUUUAAUUAUAGAAAGUAUAUUAUUACAUUUUUAAUAACAUACAACGUGAAAAUUCUUAAUUUAAUAUGAAAUUUCUCAGACGUGCUUAAAAAUGAAUGGUAUCACUGACCGAGGAUGGAAAGUGUCAGUUGACGAUGCUCAUCGAGGUGCAGAUAUUUCUCUUUAUAGGACAUCGAUCCCCCAUCUGGGCGUCGAUUUCUCUUUUUUUCCGCACAGUUAGAGAGCAUUUCCCCUUUCGCUGUACGCUUGCCCGUGGUCAUCGAGUAACAAGCCGAUCUCUAUGAACGCUCAACUAGGAUAACAAUAGCCCGAUCCUUGGAUAUCCGAUCGUCAACCUUUCGAUGAGUAUUCAAGUUGGAGAAAACGAAAAAAAACAAAAAAAAAAAAAA